AGAAGAAAACUUGGCACUUGGACCAACUAAUUUUCAUUGCAAAUGAGAUGAGUGAAUAAUGUAUUCGAGCACGCCCCUAAAUAGAACAAAAGCUUUCUCUAAUCCAGAUACAUAAAUAGGUUAAAUUCAGAUAGUUCAGAUCAUAUAUCUACAAGGAAUAGGGUGUGGAUUUAGAACACAGAAAAGCCAUUACGCGUGCGUCAGUCUUGGGGAUCAUUCAUCCUUCCCAAAAUCCCAACAAGUAGAGGUAGUUGGUGAAUUUACAUAAUUAAGUUAUUUCAUUUCACAUUCCACUUGAAAUUCAUCAUAUGUAAGAAAUUUCCUCAUCAGAUUUCCUGGGGAAAAGGGAGAUUUAAUAAAGCAAAAGACACAAAUGGCCACAAGAGAAAGACCCUUACUCUUGAGAUACAUGGUAUAGUUAUUAAGAUGCUGAUUUAGAGAAGUAAAACAUCCACUUUAUAAUAGCUCCAGCCCUUUUAACUAGGAAAAAUAAAUAGUUUUAGCAUUUUUAUUUUUAUACUGUUUUUGUUGGCUGAUUAUUUGUAUUUUUUAGGAUAAAAUGGAGGCUGUCAUAGCUACUGCUCUUUAUGGAUCAACAGAUGAUUCAUCAGAAGAUCAAGAACUCAAUAUAAAUUGCAUGUACUUUGAUAUUGUGAGUGGAGCAAAAAAAUGAUGUGUAUAUGAAUUGGACUCUCAAGCUUCAACCUUGUAUAAAGAUAUGACAUGCAAUUUGCCUGUAGUGUCCGAUCAUGUUGCCAAAGAGCGCAUCAAAAUACUUGAGAAAGAGGUGUCGUAUAUGAGAGAAAAUCAAUAGAAAAUUCUUCAAGAGCGUGUAGAGUUGGAGGUGCAACAACGAGUAGAGCAAGAGGUUUUCUGUUUGAGGCAGCAAAGUGAUGAUCGAUUCAAAUAUAUGGAGGAGCAAUGGUCUCGCAUGAUGAGCGAUAUGUCAUUAUCUUCUCACUCAUUUAGUAAUCCUACUCUCCCUAAUAGGGGCUCAUCUAAUGCUUAAGUGUUUAAUAUUUUGAGACUUUAGUUACUUGAAGUGUCGACUUGAACAUUGUCGCACUUUUUUUGGAUAGUUAUAUGCUUUAACUUUUAAACAUUGGUAGACUUUUGCUUAUUGACGUUGUGAUUUUGCAUGUUUUAAUUAGCUUCAGACGUUUUUUUAUUAUAAAUCUUCUAUUAUGUUUUUUUUAUAUAUAUAGUGUGAGAAAGAGCAUAAUAUUUCGUAAUUAUUAUUUAUUAAAGUUAAAAAUUUAAAUAAAAUUUGUGACAGAUUUAAUUUGUCACAGUCUAUCCUAAAUUUGUUACUAAUAUAGGUAAGAGAGUCAUAUUGUGACUAAAUUAGUCUGUCACAAAUUAUUUGUAACGAAAUAUAUUGUCACAAUUGUGGUGACUAGGUUUGAAACUUUGUUACGGAAAUUAUUCUGUCGCUAUUUUAUAACGGAAUAUUUUGUCAAAAAUCUGUUAUAAAUUUGUGACGAAAUUUAAGUCAAAUUUAAGGAUUUAUAUUGUGACGAACGAUCUGUCUCAGUUUCAUCACAAUAAUUUUGUGACGAAUUUAAUUUUCGUCACAAUGAUUUUAUGACCAAAGGUUUUGAGAUGCACAUUUUUCCAUCACAAAUUCAUCACAAUCAAUUAUUUAUGACAGAUUUGUGACUAAAAUCUCUGUCACAAUUUAGAUAAUUUCUUGUAGUUUAGUUUAAAUUCAUAUCCCACACUAACCCUCGUCAAAUUUGAGAUACAACUUUAAGACACCAAGAGAUUAAGCCAUAGACAUAAAAUAGAACAAAAAUUUAUGUAUUCUUUAAGAUUUUUUUAAAAAUUCUUCAUAUGGAUCGAAUUUCUCAUUUUCAAAAAUCCAUUUAUGGAGUUUUUGAUUUUAAACCCUUCAAACAGAAAUUUAUGAAAAAAUUUAGAGAUGAAAUUUAAAGGAAAUCUUAAAAUCAUGGAAUAUAAGUAUACCUUUAUAUAGAAAGGCAGAGAUGAAGCUUUUGGCGAAGCAGACAGAGUCGCAGAUAAAGACUUCACUAAAAGAACCCUACAUCACCGGAGAUGAAGACCAUCAGAGCCUUUUGCUAAAUUUUUUGCUUAAAUCACCCUCAAAAUCUGCUUUCUAGAAAAUUUCGCCUUCACCUUUGGGAAUUCAAUUUUGGAUAUGUAUAAAAUGUGCCCGCUCCUAGGCAGCUUAAAGAGAAA
rnacentral:lncRNA from 1 species